UACAGAGGUCUCAAGCGUUGUUCGGAUUCAUUGGGCGUAAAGGGUGCGUAGGCGGCGCGGUAAGUCGGGUGUGAAAUCUCGGGGCUUAACUCCGAAACUGCAUUCGAUACUGCCGUGCUUGAGGACUGGAGAGGAGACUGGAAUUUACGGUGUAGCGGUGAAAUGCGUAGAUAUCGUAAGGAAGACCAGUGGCGAAGGCGGGUCUCUGGACAGUUCCUGACGCUGAGGAGCGAAAGCGUGGGAGCAAACAGG
rnacentral:rRNA from 1 species